CUUGUCCCCCGGCCCCGGCGUCGCUUCUCUCUCCCAGGGCUGCGGCUGCUGCCUGGCGGGCGCAAGUCGGGCGGCGGUGCGCUGGGGGUGCGCUUACAUAACCGCUCGCCGCGUCCUGCUUUCUCGCGCGCUCCUGCACCGUGGGGUGGCGGAGCCGGGGGACUGGAUGGAACCCGGGCCGCCCCCGCGGGGAGAGGAGCGCGAGCGGCCGCGGGAGGAGGGCGCCCGAGGCGGCAGGGGAGGUUAAGGUCAGUGGGUGUGAAGCGCCGGCUCCACACCCCCUCCCCCCCGGUCCCCUCCUUCCCUUCCUCUCCGUCCCCCUCUGACGUCUGGAGCUGGCAGCUCGGCCGGUUCCGCAUUCCCGACCCCUCCCCGCCGCCCAGGGGCCGCUAUAUAGCCGGGGCUGAUGCAACCCGUCCCGCCGCCCGCCACAGCCUGCGGGAGGGACGCUCGGCGGCCGCGACGGGGGGCGCUGGCGGCAGGGCUGGCGCCGCGGCGGCUCCCGGGCCGGGACGGGCCUGGGCACCGGGCGGAGCUCCGCGGCCGGGCGGCAGCGGCGCGGAGCGGGCACGGCGCCUGCAGCCGGGCCCCGGCCCCGGGGGCGCCGCCUCCGCCGGCAGCUUCUGCACGGUGGGUGCGAGGGCGCGCGCUGGGGGCUCCGGGCGGGGCGGGGCGGGGCGCGGGCACCUGGGACAGCCGCCCCCGCGCGGGCGGAGUGCGAGGAGGAGCCCCAGCCCAGCCCCGCCGGGAGGGUCCCGCAGCCCUAGGACCCCGAGCUUUCUCCGCGCGGGGCGCUGCAGCCGGGCCCCUCCCACGAGGCUCCGGGUAGCCGGAGGCUUCCUUUUGGUUCCCGCCCCAGGACGGGAGGCUCUGUCCGCUCCCUGGGCAGCCGGGCGCUCCCUCCUUCUCCCUCCCGCGCUCUCCUCCCCCGUCCGUUUGCAAGGAGGUGCUCUCCUCGGGCGGCGGGGAAGGUGGGGUGAGUGGGGAGAAAACUGCCCGCGGAGAUGGGCCGUGCGGGUGGAGAUGGAGGGUGAAGGGCCAGGGAGGUGCGGGGUUGGGGUGGGGGUUCGAUUGUGGAGGGAUGACUAG
rnacentral:lncRNA from 13 species